rnacentral:lncRNA from 1 species
GUCCUUGGCAAAUGCUCCCCUAUGGAAUCCAGUUCAUCUCCAAUCUGUCAGAAGGCAUCAAAGAUGGUUUUGACUCCUUAUGUCCUGGGCCUGUGCAAAAAAUACCUUGUGUAGAGGAAAAUGAGAUCCUGAGUGAAGUCUACAAUGUCAUUGACUCUGAAGAAGGACUCAGAGACCCAUUGGUGUUUAAUGACCCUUACUGGCCUAUGCAAUGGGAACUGGUAAUGAAAACAUCCCCAUGACCAGAAAUCCUCAGGAAUAAUUCCUCUUGACUGCAGUAAGUACCUACUUUUGAGGAAUA